GGGCGACGUGGAGAGAUGUAGGAAGUGAACCUGAAGCCUGACACACUCAAGGUCUGGGAACUGAAAAUAACAGGAAUUGUUCUUAUUUUUCCAGUGGAAUCGAGCACAGAGAUGGGCACACCUCUUUACAGAACCAAAGUUUCAGAACCAUGCCUUACCCUUUGCUUAUGAGGCAGAGGAGGAGGAAGAGAAAGAACCACCACAAAGAGAGAUGGCAACAAAGUCUGAGGCCCAGGGUCACCACAAACCCAGGAGACCUGAGGCCAGGCCUGAGAGGCACAGGUAGGCUGAGGAAUGAACAGAAGAGCAACAGAGAAGCCUACAGGAUGAAAGCCAACUCUGCAAAGAGCUUCCAAGAGUCUUCCUGCCACAGAAAUUCCACUUGGCCACAGAAAUGGCCCUGGCCCUGGGCCUGGAGAGAGGUGGCGAUGAGCUGCUCAUGGCAAUGAUUUUCAGUCAACAUGUCUUGCCCCUGCUUCCAAGGGUGGAGAUGUGACUGUGAGUAGGUCACUGGGUCAGGCAGGUCACAAACCAAGCUCCUCCCACACAGUGAGUUCAUGGAGACAGAGAGAAGGAAGGGAAGGAGGUUCUCAGCUCUACUGAUUCCUUAGGUCAAGGAGGCACAGGGUCCCUGUACUUGGGGACCCUCCAGUCUGAUGGGAAGAUACAAGUCAACCCUCUUAGAGCCAUAGAAUGAAUGCCACCUACAGCUCCUCCCUUCAGGAAGGAAAUCCAGUCUGA
rnacentral:lncRNA from 1 species